rnacentral:rRNA from 1 species
CCUAGGGAUGCAACAGUGGGGGAUAUUGCACAAUGGGGGGAACCCUGAUGCAGCGACGCCGCGUGAGCGAUGGAGUACUUCGGUAUGUAAAGCUCUGUCAGGAGGGAAGAAAAUGACGGUACCUGACCAAGAAGCCCCGGCUAAAUAAGGGCCAGCAGCCGCGGUAAUACGUAUGGGGCAAGCGUUAUCCGGAUUUACUGGGUGUAAAGGGAGUGGAGGCGGGAAAGCAAGUCAGAAGUGAAAACUAUGGUCUUAACCCAUAGCCUGUUUUUGAAACUGUUUUUCUUGAGUGAAGUAGAGGCAAUCGGACUUCCUAGUGUAGCGGUGAACUGCGUAGAUAUUAGGCGGAACACCAGUGGCGAAGGCGGCUUGCUUGGCUUUUACUGACGCUGAGGCUCGAAAGCGUGGGGAGCAAACAGGAUUAGAUACCCCAGUAGUC